rnacentral:rRNA from 1 species
UACGAAGGGGGCUAGCGUUGUUCGGAAUCACUGGGCGUAAAGCGCUCGUAGGCGGUUUGUUAAGUCGGGGGUGAAAUCCUGAGGCUCAACCUCAGAACUGCCUUCGAUACUGGCGGUCUUGAGUUCGGAAGAGGUUGGUGGAACAGCUAGUGUAGAGGUGAAAUUCGUAGAUAUUAGCUAGAACACCAGUGGCGAAGGCGGCCAACUGGUCCGACACUGACGCUGAGGUGCGAAAGCGUGGGGAGCAAACAGG